rnacentral:rRNA from 1 species
AGAGUUUGAUCAUGGCUCAGAACGUACGCUGGCGGCACGCCUAACACAUGCAAGUCGAACGAAGUAGCAAUACUUAGUGGCAGACGGGUGAGUAACAUGUAGGUAUCUGCCCUUUGGCCUGGAAUAACACGAGGAAACUUGUGCUAAUACUGGAUAAGUCUUUACGGAGAAAGCUUUAUGCACCAAUGGAUGAGCCUGCACUUGAUUAGUUUGUUGGUAGGGUAAUGGCCUACCAAGACUAUGAUCAAUAGCUGAUUUGAGAGGAUGAUCAGCCACAUUGGGACUGAGACACGGCCCAAACUCCUACGGGAGGCAGCAGUGGGGAAUCUUGCACAAUGGAGGAAACUCUGAUGCAGCGAUGCCGCGUGAGUGAAGAAGGCCUUUGGGUUGUAAAGCUCUUUCGUCGGGGAAGAAAAUGACUGUACCCGAAUAAGAAGGUCCGGCUAACUUCGUGCCAGCAGCCGCGGUAAUACGAAGGGACCUAGCGUAGUUCGGAAUUACUGGGCUUAAAGAGUUCGUAGGUGGUUGAAAAAGUUGGUGGUGAAAUCCCAGAGCUUAACUCUGGAACUGCCAUCAAAACUUUUCAGCUAGAGUUUGAUAGAGGAAAGCAGAAUUUCUAGUGUAGAGGUGAAAUUCGUAGAUAUUAGAAAGAAUACCAAUUGCGAAGGCAGCUUUCUGGAUCAAUACUGACACUGAGGAACGAAAGCAUGGGUAGCGAAGAGGAUUAGAUACCCUCGUAGUCCAUGCCGUAAACGAUGUGUGUUAGACGUUGGAAAUUUAUUUUCAGUGUCGCAGCGAAAGCGAUAAACACACCGCCUGGGGAGUACGACCGCAAGGUUAAAACUCAAUGAAUUGACGGGGACCCGCACAAGUAGUGGAGCAUGUGGUUUAAUUCGAAGAUACGCGCAGAACCUUACCAACACUUGACAUGUUCGUCGCGACUUUAAGAGAUUAAAGUUUUCGGUUCGGCCGGACGAAACACAGGUGCUGCAUGGCUGUCGUCAGCUCGUGUCGUGAGAUGUUGGGUUAAGUCCCGCAACGAGCGCAACCCUCACUUUUAGUUGCCAUCAUUUAGUUGGGCACUCUGAAAGAACUGCCAGUGAUAAGCUGGAGGAAGGUGGGGAUGACGUCAAGUCCUCAUGGCCCUUACGUGUUGGGCUACACACGUGCUACAAUGGUAUUUACAACAGGAAGCAAAACGGCGACGUUUAGCAAAUCCUUAAAAAAUACCUCAGUUCGGAUUGCACUCUGCAACUCGAGUGCAUGAAGCUGGAAUUACUAGUAAUCGUGGAUCAGCGUGCCACGGUGAAUGCGUUCCCGGGUCUUGUACACACCGCCCGUCACACCAUGGGAGUUGGUUCUACCUUAAGGCAAGGUUUAAAAUCCUUGACCACGGUAUAGUCAGCGACUGGGGUGAAGUCGUAACAAGGUAACCGUA